UACAUGCAAGUCGAACGAUGAAGUUCCUUCGGGAAUGGAUUAGUGGCGAACGGGUGAGGAACACGUGAGAAACCUGCCUUUCAUUCUGGGAUAACACCGGGAAACCGGUGCUAAUACCGGAUACUCCGUCUUGGCGGCAUCGCCGAGCCGGGAAAAAAUUUUGAUGAAAGAUGGUCUCGCGGCCUAUCAGCUAGUUGGUGAGGUAAAGGCUCACCAAGGCGACGACGGGUAGCCGGCCUGAGAGGGCGACCGGCCACACUGGGACUGAGACACGGCCCAGACUCCUACGGGAGGCAGCAGUAGGGAAUAUUGGGCAAUGGGCGCAAGCCUGACCCAGCGACGCCGCGUGAGGGAUGAAGGUCUUCGGAUUGUAAACCUCUUUCAGUAGGGAAGAAGCGAAAGUGACGGUACCUAAAGAAGAAGCACCGGCUAACUAUGUGCCAGCAGCCGCGGUAAUACAUAGGGUGCAAACGUUGUCCGGAAUUAUUGGGCGUAAAGAGCUCGUAGGUCGUUUGUCGCGUCGAUUGUGAAAAUCUGAGGCUCAACCUCAGACCUGCAGUCGAUACGGGCAAACUAGAGUGUGGUAGGGGAGACUGGAAUUCCUGGUGUAGCGGUGGAAUGCGCAGAUAUCAGGAGGAACACCAAUGGCGAAGGCAGGUCUCUGGGCCAUAACUGACACUGAGGAGCGAAAGUGCGGGGAGCGAACAGGAUUAGAUACCCUGGUAGUCCGCACCGUAAACGGUGGGCACUAGUUGUGGGAACCUUCCACGGUUUCCGCGACGCAGCUAACGCAUUAAGUGCCCCGCCUGGGGAGUACGAUCGCAAGAUUAAAACUCAAAGGAAUUGACGGGGCCCCGCACAAGCAGCGGAGCAUGCGGCUUAAUUCGACGCAACGCGAAGAACCUUACCAAGGCUUGACAUAUAGCGAAAAGUGGCAGAGAUGUCAUGU
rnacentral:rRNA from 1 species